AUGCAGUCGGACGGAACGAUAGGAGCUUGCUCCUAGGCGUCGAGUGGCGGACGGGUGAGUAAUGCAUGGGAAUCUGCCCUUUAGUUGGGGAUACCGUAUGGAAACGUACGUUAAUACCGAAUGAGACCUACGGAUGAAAGGUGCCCUCUUCUUGAAAGGUAUCGCUAAAGGAUGAGCCCAUGUUAGAUUAGCUAGUUGGUGAGGUAAUGGCUCACCAAGGCAUCGAUCUAUAGCUGGUUUGAGAGGAUGAUCAGCCACACUGGGACUGAGACACGGCCCAGACUCCUACGGGAGGCAGCAGUGGGGAAUAUUGCACAAUGGAGGAAACUCUGAUGCAGCCAUGCCGCGUGUGUGAAGAAGGCCCGAGGGUUGUAAAGCACUUUUAGUGAGGAGGAAAGGUUAGUAGUUAAUACCUGCUAGCUGUGACGUUACUCACAGAAAAAGCACCGGCUAACUCUGUGCCAGCAGCCGCGGUAAUACAGAGGGUGCAAGCGUUAUUCGGAAUUACUGGGCGUAAAGCGCGCGUAGGCGGAUUGUUAAGUCAGUUGUGAAAGCCCUGGGCUCAACCUAGGAACGGCGAUUGAAACUGGCAGUCUAGAGUUUAGUAGAGGGAAGGGGAAUUUCUGGAGUAGCAGUGAAAUGCGUAGAUAUCAGAAGGAACAUCAGUGGCGAAGGCGCCUUCCUGGACUAAAACUGACGCUGAGGUGCGAAAGCGUGGGGAGCAAACGGGAUUAGAUACCCCGGUAGUCCACGCAGUAAACGAUGAUCACUAGCUGUAUGCGAUACACAGUAUGUGGCUAAGCGAAAGCGAUAAGUGAUCCACCUGGGGAGUACGUCGGCAACGAUGAAACUCAAAGGAAUUGACGGGGGCCCGCACAAGCGGAGGAGCAUGUGGUUUAAUUCGAUGAUACGCGAGGAACCUUACCUGGGCUUGAACGUAUGGUGCAUGGUGGUGAAAGUCACCUUUCUUCGGACUCCAUACGAGGUGCUGCAUGGCUGUCGUCAGCUCGUGCCGUGAGGUGUUAGGUUAAGUCCUGCAACGAGCGCAACCCCUGUUUCCAGUUGCCAGCAAGUGAUGUUGGGGACUCUGGAGAGACUGCCUACGCAAGUAGAGAGGAAGGUGGGGAUGACGUCAAGUCAGCACGGCCCUUACGUCCAGGGCUACACACGUGCUACAAUGGUCGGUACAGAGGGCAGCUUGGUGGUGACACCUGGCUAAUCCCGAAAGCCGGCCUAAGUUCGGAUCGGAGUCUGCAACCCGACUUCGUGAAGCUGGAUUCGCUAGUAAUCGUAUAUCAGCCAUGAUACGGUGAAUACGUUCCCGGGCCUUGUACACACCGCCCGUCAAGCCAUGGAAGUCAGGGGUACCUGAAGUCGGUGACCGUAAGGAGCC
rnacentral:rRNA from 1 species